AGUGAACGCUGGCGGUAGGCCUAACACAUGCAAGUCGAACGGCAGCACAGUAAGAGCUUGCUCUUACGGGUGGCGAGUGGCGGACGGGUGAGGAAUACAUCGGAAUCUACUUUUUCGGGGGGGAUAACGUAGGGAAACUUACGCUAAUACCGCAUACGACCUACGGGUGAAAGCAGGGGAUCUUCGGACCUUGCGCGAUUGAAUGAGCCGAUGUCGGAUUAGCUAGUUGGCGGGGUAAAGGCCCACCAAGGCGACGAUCCGUAGCUGGUCUGAGAGGAUGGUCGGCGACACUGGAGCUGGGACACGGUCCUGGCUCCUACGGGAGGCAGCAGUGGGGUAUAUUGGACAAUGGGCGCGAGCCUGAUCCAGCCAUCCCGCGUGUGUGAAGAAGACCUUCGGGUUGUAAAGCCCUUUUGUUGGGAAAGAAAAGCAGCAGGUUAAUACCCCGCUGUUCUGACGGUACCCAAAGAAUAAGCACCGGCUAACUUCGUG
rnacentral:rRNA from 1 species